rnacentral:rRNA from 1 species
UACGUAGGGGGCAAGCGUUGUCCGGAUUUAUUGGGCGUAAAGAGCGUGUAGGCGGCCAGAUAGGUCCGUUGUGAAAACUCGAGGCUCAACCUCGAGACGCCGAUGGAAACCAUCUGGCUAGAGUCCGGAAGAGGAGAGUGGAAUUCCUGGUGUAGCGGUGAAAUGCGCAGAUAUCAGGAAGAACACCCGUGGCUAAGGCGGCUCUCUAGUACGGUACUGACGCUGAGACGCGAAAGCGUGGGGAGUGAACAGG